AACGAACGCUGGCGGCAGGCCUAACACAUGCAAGUCGAGCGAGGACUUCGGUCCUAGCGGCGGACGGGUGAGUAACGCGUGGGAACGUGCCCUUUGCUUCGGAAUAGCCCUGGGAAACUGGGAGUAAUACCGGAUGAGCCCUUUGGGGGAAAGAUUUAUCGGCGAAGGAUCGGCGCGCGUUGGAUUAGGUAGUUGGUGGGGUAAUGGCCUACCAAGCCGACGAUGCAUAGCUGGUGUGAGAGGAUGAUCAGCCACACUGGGACUGAGACACGGCCCAGUCUCCUACGGGAGGGAGCAGUGGGGAAUCUUAGACAAGGGGGGAAACCCUGAUCUAGCCAUGCCGCGUGAGCGAUGAAGGCCUUAGGGUUGUAAAGCCCUUUCAGCUGAGAAGAUAAUGACGGUACCAGCAGAAGAAGCCCCGGCUAACUCCGUG
rnacentral:rRNA from 1 species